GGUGAACUAGACUUGGUGGAUGGUAUGGAAGGGCCUUUGGGAGAGACCUGUGCCCACGAUAAAAGGGAAAAUGAAGGUGUUCGUUUGAGUUUGCUUGUGUGGAGCUUUUUUGGCACAGUUAACCCGUCUGUGCUCCUCCCUGUGAGUUGAUGUCAAAAUUAGCCUUGCAGCUUCAGAACUGCUGAUCCCGAUUAUGCUGUGCAAGGGGUGUUUGUUCCAUGGUCACACUGUCUCUAUGAGGCAGCAACGUCUAGUAGUGUUAUCCCCAUUGAAGGGACAGAGAUACCAAGGCAGGAGAAGGGCAGGUGCUGGCCUAAGGCACACAGAUGGAGAUACACAUGGUCACGCAUACCUGGGAAAGCUUAGCAGCACUCCUGGCUCUCUGCAGGAGUUCAUAGAACCCCGCACUGUGUGGAGUCGCUGUGUGACGCUCAAACCAGGAAGUGCUGACGGACUCUUCCCUUCUCUGUCUCUCCAGAGUCUGCCUGAGGCACAUUUGUGGGACUCUAGCAAGGAAGACUCUGGUUUGCAGAACAUCUCCAACGGUCACUGCUUAAAUUGAACAAAUGAUGCAUCACAAAACUACAAGGGGACUCUUCAAAUUCACGGUCGGUGCAGAUCUGCAUGUAAUUGUAUUGUAAGAGUUGUCCAGCAGAUGGCAGGAAAGUGUUGUGAAACAGAGGUGCCUGGUGACCUGCGUUGCACCUUUGUGAGUUAGCAGAGACCAGGCUUCACACACCGGACUUAGUGCAGUCACUACCAAGCUGAGGCCACAGCAGAACGACCACUGCGUUUUGCAUGACCUAGGGGCUCCGUGCUGGCCUGGCUGCACCAGAGCCCUUUCAAAACAUACGAUUUAGUUCAGGGCUCACAUUGGCCAAUGUCUGGUUUUGUUUGGCCAACAAGAAACAUGUGCCAAGUCCUGGAUCGCUCCUUUGGUACUUCAUCAGCUGCAAACCCUCUCGGUAUUUUUGUGUGUUUUGGAAGUAAGAAGAGAGCAAGCAAGGGCUGACAUUGAAUGGGAAGACACAGUGGCUAGGAGAAGGGCUCCUGGCCAGGAUCUGUGAGUCGGCCUCUUGAAGUGAGAGACAGAUGUCUCUGAUCUUCCGUUUCCGUCAGUGCAAAGAGGGCCCACUAAGACCCACUCCUCAGGGCUGCUGAACAAAGCCCCAACUGACAGGCACUGACAAAGCUCUGUAGAUGCCACCCAUCAUGAAUGUGGCUGCAGUUAAAUCAUGAUGAGCACUGUGACCCACAAGACUGGAAAAGUACUUUGGCAACCUGAUGCGGAUGUUUUCAAGAAAUGGAUGAGAGAACACAUACCCCACCGUUCUACUCUUAGUUGUUUUGUUUCAUUAAAGCCUUUUUAGUUU